UACUCAUUUUAGUCUUCGUCUUCUCCAUCUCCACGAUUCCAUGUCUCGUCUUCUCCAUCCCAAGCCGUAUCUCGUCUUCUCCAUCCCCACGAAGUGAAGUUCAUUUUGGUCUUCAUCUUCUCCAUCCUCACAAAGCCCCAUCCCCAUGAAGUCUUAUAUUCUCCCACGAAGCCUCAUUUCAUUUCCCAUUUUCCUUCUCCCCUGCUCAUUCUCCCUUUCUCCUUCACCUUCUCCUUCUCACCCUUCCUCUCUUUCCAAGAUCUGUUCCUUCCCCCUUCUCCGAAAUCCUAACCCUAACCCCUUUAUCCCAAUCCCUAACCUAGCCCGUGGCUGUCUUCAUGGGUGUCGUCGUGGGUGCCCAGAGGUCCUUCAUGGGUGUCUUCGUGAUGAUUGAAAGUCUCAAUACCGGAUAUUAUUUUGAUUGUGGCCAAAAUAGUCCUUGUUGGUGGGUCAACACCAGCUUCUUGUGAGUAAGGUUUGAGAUCUGAGUUGUGAGCAGCUGCUUAUAAUAAUAUUUCCUCACAAAUCAUAACACAAAUUUCUUUAUGGUGAGAUAUUUGGGGGCAGGUAUGCAAGUUUUGAUCCCUUGGUGACUUUCAGUACACUUUUUGCAUAGUUGGAUUGUCCUGUUUAGAUGAUUGGAUACUUGGAUCAAUGAUUAGUUGGAUUAGUUUGAUUAGCUGGAUUGCCAUAUAUGCUCUCAUUGAUUGGAUGCUUACACUGUCUAAGUGUAAGUGUCAAUUUGAGUAGUGUUUGUGUCACUUUGAUUCUCACAGUGGGUUUAUGAAGACAAGCUUGUCGCACUUGAAGCCUGGACUUACUUGAAACCUGGAGUUUCCAACAUUUUCUUUUGUGUUUGUGGUUCAUUAUCAAUAAGGAGUUUCUCAAGGAGAGGCUGUUUUUCCAAUCUACUUCCUGCUAUGUUGUUUACCAGUGCUUCUAACCUGGAACCCAUGAUAAUGGCUCGACUAAUGCAUGUUGAAGGUAGCUGCAGAAGGUAGGAGUUGCAAAUAACAAAAGCAAUAGUCAAAAUAUCUAAUAAAUGUGAAGCUUCGGUGACAACACACCAAUAUAAAAGCACCUGCAAAAGAGGCUCAUCCUCCUAGAGUAAAAACAGAAUAUCUACUUACCCAAGAUAUUAAUUUCCCUUCCCAACUUUUUAAAUUUCCCUUUUUUCCCACUUCUCCCUCCCUCUUUUUUUAAAUUUCCGCUAAAACCAAAAUUUAAGGUAAGCUUGUUAUUUGCCAUGUAUAUGUGAUUUACUCUUUUUCGGUAGAAAUCCACUUCAUAAAGAUUAUCACAAAGAGGCAAAUUUAUAAUAUGAAUCACAGCACAUAACUGCAAGGAGAGAGGCAGAGACAGGAGAUUUCAAGUUACCUGUGCAUUCUGUGCAACCUUAAAACCAAAACUACUCUCUGAAACGCCAGUCGCAAGCUUAUAUAGGCUUGAGAUCUAAGUUGUGAGCAGCUGCUUAUAAUAAUAUUCUUGAGCAACAAGCAGAAAUAAGACGUUUACGCACGCUACUCCUCACUACUCCGUAUCUAUUGGGCUUUUGCCAUUGUUGUUUCAUGUUAUUUGGUAGUAUGUAAGUGAUUUAGGACUGGUAUUGAUAGUAUGUACUUCGAGUUAGUCAGAUUGUGUAUUUCCCCUGUUGUUCUGUGUAUGUUAUCAUAAUCUUCAUGUUUCCUAGAAACAAA